UAAUGUAAUGCUUACAACAUUAAUGCAUUAUAUCCCAUUAGAACUCCUCAUUUAAGCACGCUUGGGAUAUAAUAGUACUAGUAUAGGUCACAUCCUAGGAAGUCUUAGUGUUUUACAUGCC
rfam:Picea glauca, whole genome shotgun sequence.